rnacentral:rRNA from 1 species
GACGAACGCUGGCGGCGUGCCUAAUACAUGCAAGUAGAACGCUGAAGGAGGAGCUUGCUCUUCUGGAUGAGUUGCGAACGGGUGAGUAACGCGUAGGUAACCUGCCUGGUAGCGGGGGAUAACUAUUGGAAACGAUAGCUAAUACCGCAUAAGAGUAGAUGUUGCAUGACAUUUGCUUAAAAGGUGCAAUUGCAUCACUACCAGAUGGACCUGCGUUGUAUAAGCUAGUUGGUGGGGUAACGGCUCACCAAGGCGACGAUACAUAGCCGACCUGAGAGGGGGAUCGGCCACACUGGGACUGAGACACGGCCCAGACUCCUACGGGAGGCAGCAGUAGGGAAUCUUCGGCAAUGGACGGAAGUCUGACCGAGCAACGCCGCGUGAGUGAAGAAGGUUUUCGGAUCGUAAAGCUCUGUUGUAAGAGAAGAACGAGUGUGAGAGUGGAAAGUUCACACUGUGACGGUAUCUUACCAGAAAGGGACGGCUAACUACGUG